AGCUGAACAUUUGCGUAUGUUUGAAACGAUUUCCUUAUUGAAUUUUAUUGUUUGGGGGUGUUUUUAUGUAAGAGAUACAUUAUUUUAUUAUAUAAAUAAUGAGAAAAAAAGUAUGAUUGCUUAGAUGUUUUUCUUAAAAUGUGGCUACUUGUAUCUAACCUAUUUAUAUCCCGGUUAAAUGAUAUACUAUGCUAGUCUGUCGUGUGAAUGUAGACAAUAUAUUUACAAAUGUACUUUUACAUAGGUUUCAAAGUCAAGAAAGUACAUUACUAUUUGACGACUAUUUGACAGACUACCUUAUUAGUAUAUGUUAAAUUUGCUUCUGCAUUGUAAACGAUAUACCUAUGUAAAUUGCUUUGACGUUACGUAAAGGUGGAACAAUUGCGGUAUAGUAAAUGUGUAUGUUACCGGAUGUGACCAAUGGGAAAACUGCAUUGUGACACGACAGUAAAACGUUUGCUGCAGGAUUCCCGAGAAGUAUAACUACCCAAAUGUGAACUACUAAACCACAGACUGUCUCUUAAUGAUAGGGAAUGUAAGGUGGAUAUAAGCACUUUUACACCACUUAGUACUCUUAAAUGAUUGCAUUUGGUGAAUGACAGAAGUUAAUUGGCUUUUCCAAAACGGGGCUACAAAUAUCACAACGUUUGGAUGUACGAUUGCUUACAGACGUUGCGUCGUCAUUCUUUUAGAUUACACUGGACAUUGGUCAUAAGACACUUUCAUGAUGAUGCAUGCUGGUAUAAAUAUAUACCAAUACAGAAAAGUUGUAACUGUAGGAGAUUCCGUAAUAAUAAAAUUGUCACCGUUGGAGGAAGUCAAAGUUUACGCAUUCAUUGGCGCAACAAUGGGAAAAUAACAGUAUCUUAUAAAUACUAGAAGAAUUCCUUCGUCGCAUUUUGUUUAUUUGAUGAUUCAUGUUGGUGCCAAUAACAUGGUAAAAGGGUUCUUUGUUUCAUAGACGUAUUCAGGUAUGGUGAAUCGUACAAUAGCACCCAAAAUCCACAUCAUUAUUUCUUCUAUACUCCCUGGACCAGUGGACCGUAAAACAACUGAUGAAAGAAUAAGAGAAUUUAAUUCUAAAAUUGAAAAAAGUUUUGUUAGUGGAUCUUGGUGUAAAGUUUAUCAAAUCUUACAGACGUUUUUACUAUAAGCCUCAAAGUUCAACUUAAAAGUAAAUUUCAAUCUACACUUAGGUCGUGUUGUAACGGAUAUAUACAGCAAUUGUUUCAAAAUGAUGAUGUUCUGCUCUCAAAUAUUUGCGACUUCAUAACCUCAGAAAUCCCAGGAAAUGCCCAGAAAAGCCCGAAAUAUCCCACAAAAGGCCCAGAAAACAUGAAAACAACCCUUUGUAUACCAGUUACGCUUUCUAAUAAAUUAUAACAUUAGCCUUAUCAACUAGGUUGCCUAGACCCAAGAGAAUUAUUGAGCUGCAUGUUGACAUACAAACUGACCUAAGUGAACCACAGCAUUCUGCAGAAAGUAGCAGGAGAUUUGCUGCAAUGAAAUGCUCCGUUGUCCCUACUGUUACGUAAAAGCCAAAGUCAGGAAAAUCAAUCUCUAAUAAAACUUUAAAGACCUUGGAAUCAGAUCAUACCAAAAACUAUCUAACAAUUGUGUGGUAGCUAUUCUCAAAAUCGGGGCGAUAAUAGUUUCAACAAAUUGACAAUAGGAAGAACGGAGCACUGAAUGCCUCUUAGAAUUGCACAGAUUUGCUCCAACAAUGACAUCAUUUGAUGGCAUCGGAUGGAUUCAAUGUACGCACGAAAUAUGGCUUAACAUGUUGAGAUAAUGGAACUGAAUUAUUGGUUGUAAUUAUAAUAAACUAAUACAGAAAAUUUUCAAUAUGACUAAAGUAACAUGCCGAUAACAGGCGCAGCGCUGCUUAUAUGGAUCUCAACAUUCUGGAGUACUACCAUGAUAAAAUAUGUAUUGACCUGCAGAUUGUGUAUGACGGACUUAGGGAAAGACUUUGGACACACAACUUACAUAGCAUUCCAAUACUGUGAACCAACGAAAUUAAAUUACAUUUAAUCAAUAUGACCUAUACGUUUUAAAAACCGGUACCAUCAAGAGAGACAAUGUAAAUUCUAUAAGGGUUAAGAGAUUGAAGAUACAAAUAAUACCAAAUAUAAUUCGGUCAGAUUUAGCAAAUCUGCCACUAUUUUAAAUGAUAACGAUUUCAUACAGCUAUCGCUUAUUUACAUGUUAUUACCAGUGAUAAUGUCAGUGUCAGUAAUUAUCAUGAUUAUUAUUCAUUUUGUCAUACAGUGUCCUAUAAUAACAUAGAGUUCCAUUCAA
rnacentral:lncRNA from 1 species